UACGAAGGGAGCUAGCGUUGUUCGGAAUCACUGGGCGUAAAGCGCACGUAGGCGGAUUUGUCAGUCAGGGGUGAAAUCCCGGGGCUCAACCUCGGAACUGCCUUUGAUACAGCAAGUCUUGAGUUCGAGAGAGGUGGGUGGAAUUCCUAGUGUAGAGGUGAAAUUCGUAGAUAUUAGGAAGAACACCGGUGGCGAAGGCGGUUCUCUGGGCCUUACCUGACGCUGAGGAGCGAAAGCGUGGGGAGCGAACAGG
rnacentral:rRNA from 1 species